CUUUCCCAAGUGGUUGCGCCCGCAAAGCGCGCAUCUCGGGUUCCAUCCCACGCGAAGAAGAUAAAAGCGAGGCGCACUCCCCCCCCCCGCGCGCGCGCAAGUCAGAAAUGAAACAUUCCUACACUCGUUGCCAUUGAUUCCCAGCAGCGGCCGCGUGGCCAGUGGCAGGUUGGACGCUGCAUCACCAUCGUACCGGGCUAAAGCAGCAGCUCGUUGAUCGAGCAUGGUAUCCAAUGCGGCGGGCAUCGUGGCCCGUGCAGAACCGCUUAUUUGCUCGUGCAGCUGCCUUGAAAAUAUUUUCAGGGGUGUUCGUAGUAGUAACCUUGCCUAUGCACGCUUUAAUAGAAUGCUCUGAUAAGGAGAAUUAAAGCGCCUGCAGUUGCCAUCAGCGAUAUCUGGUAGAGCAAGAACCGCAGAGGGAGAGGACAUAUUUAGCUAAAGAGAGGACGCGCUCUACUGGCAUGUUGGCAGACGAACUCUGCACCACAGAGAUGUCUGCAAAUGUGACUUGAAGACUGACAACAUCAACCCCAUCAUGUAGUAAUCUCUUGCAGACGACCACAGUGCCUGGAGACAGACAGUCAACUUGUUUAUCCAUAGCAGUGACCAGAGGAGAAAUGACCACUGGAAGGAGCGCAGAGAGAAUAAAUGCCAUGGUGCAUCUGCAGCAGCAUAACUAGAUGCCUACAUCUGCACCAACAGCAACAAAACAUGACUCUCCCAUAUUGGUUUCUACAGCCACAGCAGGUGCUGUAACCUUCUAACAAUCUGACUUCACCCCCAGAGGCACACUCCUCCAUUGUCUUCUGAGAAAGAUGGAUGCCAACCCAACCCUAACCUUUUAGCCAACAGGUGGAGAGAAAAUGUUACCUUAAUCUGAACCAGAUCAGAAAUUUGUAGAAGCAAAAGAAUGCUAAAAUUAUCCUUGCCGCAUGAAUAGAUGACACAAAUGACCACCUCCCACAUGUUUCCGUGUCUGCCAUGGUAAGUUAUUACAUAGCAUAUAAUGGACCGCAUUCCCUUCCUUAAGUGAUUUUAGAAGAAGAAGCUUUGCUAAGAAUAUAUCUCCCAUCUCGAUAAUAUUGCACAGUCCACCCUUUCGUUACCUACAGCUGGAUAUGGAAGAGAUUAAAGGGGUCGGCAGCAACAGCAUUUUUUAAUUCCACUUGCCAAACUAACUUCUAAAGGCAACGGAUCAAAUAAUUUUUAUAGCAAGAUUGCUAGGGCUAAUAAAAGAUGCUCACUUGAUUUAUUUCUGCCACAAUUUCCUGAAGUAAUGAAUACUUUUUGCCCUCAGUUAUCAAGCCAAAGCCGCAGCUUUCAGUACAAUUAUUGAGGUUUGUAAAUUGCAUUUUUAUUGUUCCCAGGAACCUCUCGUCUGUAUGCAUCUCAAGCUGCAGUUUUGGUGACACAUAUAUUUCCAGCUGGCUAUUAAAUCUGCCUGCUUCUGUUAGGCAUAACAGUCCAUAGGUUUACAUGUAGGGAGCGGCACUCGAGCGCAGGGCCUAAAUGAAACUGGUACCACCUUGCUGAUGUGAUGGUCAGGAUGGGUGCGGCAAGUGUGGUGUCCCCUGCCUUGCUUGCCCAAAUUGUAUCUGGAUAUGACAGUUUUAGUGGCUCAAGUCAUCGUUUACUCUGCAACUGCUGGGACUGUUAGGCAAGAUUUCGUGGUUUAAAUUUAGCAUUCUGAAAGGAGCAUUGCACUGCUUUGGAUUGCCAAAUAAAUUUGUUAUUGUAAUGUAAUUAAAUAUAUUGCUACAUGAAAAUGAAUACAAUCAUGCCUUUUUAGGUUUCUGAAAAAAAUUAGAAGUGCUCUGCAAUUCUUGCCUCUAGUCCCUGUUAAUACUGAUGUAUGCUUUGGCAGGACCAAAAAGGCCUUUUUGCAGGAAUACUACACUAUACAACAGUACCAUGUGUUUGUUUUUGUUUUGCUCUCAGGGUCAUGAAAUUAAAUCCUGAUCUACCCAA